rnacentral:lncRNA from 10 species
CGGAGCUGUUCCUAUUCGGCCAUCUUGGCUCCUCCUUAUUUGGCCUUUUCAAGAUAAAAUCCCUGGAGAUUAUAUAUGAAACAACCACAAGAAGACAGAAAGGUGAAAAGAAAAAGGCAGACAAGAUAGAGACCUCAGGACCAAGGAAUGGCAUUGUGCCAAGAGGAAAUAGUCUCCAAUCAAUAACUUAAACUCCCACCUCAAGAAACAAGAAAAAGAAGAGCAAAAUAAAUCCAAAGCAAGCAUAAGGAUGGAAAUAAUAAAGAUGGACUCUCGCUCCUUCACCCAGGCUGGAGUGCAGUGGCGUGAUCUUGGCUCACUGCGGGCUCUGCCCCCCAGGGUUCACGCCAUUCUCCUGCAUCAGCACCCCGCGUAGCUUGGACUACAGGUGCCCGCCACCUCGCCUGGCUAAUUUUUUGUAUUUUUAGUAGAGACGGGGUUUUACCUUGUUAGACAGGAUGGUCUCGAUCUCCUGACCUCGUGAUCCACCCGCCUCAGCCUCCCAAAGUGCUGGGAUUACAGGCAUGAGCCACUGCGCCCGGCCAAUAAGCUGAUUCUUAAUGGAGAUGACAGGAACCUAGAAACCAAAGAGGAUCAUGAGAAAGAGAAGUAGUCAGGGAAUCAGGUCAGAGACAAGGAAACAAACAAAGGAUUGGAAGGCUCAUGGAUUCAUAGCAACCAAAACUUCAAGUAGUUUAGAUAUUAUGCCUGCCUAGAUUCAGAGCCCCUGCUCUUCCCACUGUAUUAUAUUUCUCUAUGAGAAAUUUUUAAAAUGGAAAUGAGGGAAAAGUGAGUUAGAGGAAGAGGAUAGGAAAGCACUUAAUGAGAUUGAAAGCUACCAAAAUUAUCCUUUCUCUGUUGAAGCAGAAAUAACAAAGUCCCAACUUCAGGCACUGAACAAUGGAAGUCAUAUCUGAUCCUUGAAGAGGAUGGCUCUUCCUUUACCCUGAAUUGAAUCUAUGUUCAUCUGCCACCACUGUGCCAUUUAUCACUUCCAAUCACAUUCAAAGAAGUAGCGAUAUCUCAUUCCCAAGGUUCUGCAUCCCCCUGUUUAGCCUUUCCCACCCACAUGGGCUCUGCGGUUUUGAAGAUGUCUUGUUGGUUUUUCUGCAGCCUGGGACCAGGACACCACACGCUCAAUGGAUGUUGUAAGGAAUUACAGGUGAUGUUUGUGUCUUGUGAGUAUGGAUGUGGAGAUCAUACCCUUCAGUUAAGAAUAAUUCUAAUUCUACUAUCCACUAGUCUUUUUCAUAAAAUGGAGUUGCAAAGCCUCCCAAAGCUGUCUCCUGUUAGUGGUCAUUAUCCUUAUUGCAUUCUGUUUUUUCCACUAUUUAAAUGAAGACAUACUGCCCGGCAUCUCCCCCAGGCACAAGUUCUACUAGUAAUGACAAUUUUUUCAUUAAUACCAAUUGUAUACAUAAUCUUAUUGAGUUUCCACAAUAACCUAGAGAGAAAGAAACUGUGAUUACCUUUAGGUUUUAUAUGAGGAAACUGAGACUAUCGUGCCUUUGGAUUGAUCAGAGGCUGAAUUUAAAGAUAAGUGAACAUUGUUGGACAAACAAAAGACCUCCCAGCUCUCAAAACAAUAUCUACUGGAGGUAGGUGGAAGAGAAGGUGGGUAGAAUUAGGGUUUUCAAUGUGGACAAUAAUCAAGUACAAAGGAGACAGUUAUCUAUCCAGAUGGUUUAGACUAAUGAUUCCCAACAUGCUUCAUGUUGUGACAUGCUAAUUUUGUCUAAUUUUAUUAAUUCCCUGAAGCAAUAUGUGGGUUCUUAAAAGUAAUUAAAGUAGAAUUAAAUGUUAUGUUAAUUAAACAUGGCUUUAAAUGAAUUUGAGAUGAUGUGAAUUGGUUUUGCCCCUUGGGAUAACUGCAAAGUGCCUAUCCUGAUUUUGUGACAACUCAGAGUAUUAGGAACUGAAAUCUUCAGAAACUUGAAAGAGGUGACUGAGCCAGAAUAUCUAUCAGGUCCCUGAGUUUGCAUCUUAGAAGUUUUGUCCUAGUUGUCAUUUGGUACCUGUGGGAGGUAAUUCCAGUGUUAUGGUAAAGUUCAUUCUAGAGAUGAAUAAUCCUCCUCAGAUUUACCUUUCUUUUUAUCUUUUUCUUUUGGGCUGCUCCUUCUCCUUCAUGCUAUCACUAUAGUAAGGCAACUGGACCGCCAUGCUUUUUGGAUUCACUCCCCAUUUACCUCUCUGUCCUGCUUAGAUUUCUCCCACUUUCGGUUCCCAUGGCCAGGGUCCUGUCUAACCUAUUUUCCAAGCAUCAAAAGUGUCUUUACAAAUCUGUUCUGCAACUCCCACUACUGAUGACUUCUGUGAUAUUCCUCCUUUGGUCAAGUUGGUCUUCUUUCCUCCUCCUCUGUGACUUGGAAGCCUUUAGUUCCCACUAUACCAUAUCCAUAAGGAUUCAUUAUUCUUAACAUUGUCAGUUGGCCCUCUGCUCCAGAUCAUGCACAUGUCCUUCUACCCCUCACCUCCCACCUGACUGCUCUCAGCCUGUGCUAUAGACUCAGGGUGUUUGCCUGAUUCCCCUUGACCCCCAUCCUUGGGGUAGACACUUACUGGGCUGAGAUAGGCUGGUUUCAGUGCCCGUGCCAAGGUAGUCUGCAUGUUCCACUGCAUAAUCUGAGGACAAAUGUCUGGUAAAAUCUUUCAGAAUUCCAGUCAUUUCUCCUGUCCGCCUGUUCAAACUGAAGUUUCAUUUAAAGCCUUUGUGUUUACGAGAGGUUUGAUCAUAGAAGGCAAAUCUUCCCAGUAAUGUCAUUUAGCCUAUGUUUUUAUUUCUGCAUUUAAUAAAAUGCAGUCAAAUUCCAAAUUGUGUAUUUCACUCUUGCUUGAGCAUAUUGAUAGAAGCUGUUGUCAGCUAUGUGUUCUUCCUAUCAAUCAGUCUUUUCAAAGUUCUUUGUUAACAAUUAGUCAUCAGGGUUCAUCCAUACAUUGUUGUAUUACACAAUCAAUCAUUAAACUCAAGGGGAAAAAUGCUUAUUGAUGUGCAUAUUUUUCCCGAUAUAUUUUAAGUGAAAAGAGCAGGGUAAAAAACCGUAUUACAUUAUUAUUCUAUUACAAACACAUUUACACACACACACACACACACACACCCCCCAUGAAUAUAUUUUAAAUGGAAGAUUAAAAGGACACCAAAGUGCUAACAGUGAUUGUCUCUAGGUGCCAAGAUUGAUCAAUUUAUAUGUUCCCCUUCCUUCUCCAUAUUUUCCAAUUUCUCAAUAAUGAGUGUGUAAUUCUUUUAUAGUCAGGAAAAAGUAAUUUUAGAUAAUUCAAUUAGUUAUCAAGGUCAACCAGCAUGUGUGGAAAAGGUGACAAUUCUUACUGAAGAGAAAUUAACACCUUUAUUGUUAUGAAUUGAGGUUACUUUUUAAAGUAGGAACCUAUCUCUAAAAUUAAAAUGGAAGUGGAAACUUACUGAGUUUGAAAGAAUCAUUUUACAUAUCACUUUUCAAGUAAAACCAAUUUCUAUUUUGCUUUUUCUUCAAGUGCUUAAACAUUUUCUCUUCUGGGGCCCUUAUUUUAUGCUCCCCAAGAGAAAGGGCCAUGUCUCCUAUUUCCUUUGGCAUCUCCCACCCCCUCCCCACUCUCUUUCCUGUACUGCUAUACACCCAAGAAUAAGUCAGUGCACACGAUGUGCACGCAGAAAAUGUUUGUUAAUGGACUUGGUUAUUUCCGUUUUCUACUAAAUCUCAUCCUAGUCAUGUUUUCAGAAUCAUAGAACAUGGCUCCUUACUCCUCAGAAGCCUGGUAUCUCUCCCUACUGCUCUUGCUUAGUGCCCUGGGUCCCAGAACUCCACCCUUAGAUCUUCACUCUUGCAGUGUGAGGUAGACCCCAGCCAGUUCCGAGCUCCAGGGCCCUUGCAAGGAUGCCAGGUUUACGCCAGCCAUUUUCCCUGACUCAUGGGGGCUUGGCCAGCAGGUCAGUCACUACCCAGGAGGCCAGUCACUACCCAGUCUCGAACAUUCCUCCCUGAAUCAGAUGCUGCUGACUGGAUACCUCCAAGAAUCCCAGUGGGUUGACAGAAGUGUCAGCUUUAGGCCAAAGGAGUCUCUGGGAUGUCCUUGCCUUGGACAGAAGCUGGGGACCACACAGCCAGCUGACUCUGCUGCCCUGCCUUUGGGGUUAUAGCAUCUUGCCACUGGGCCCCCCAAACUAUCCUUUCCCUCAAUACCUGCUCAUUUGCUCAGGUCCCCGGAUCCAGCCUAGGGACUGUCUCGGCAGGGUCCUUCUAUCAGAGAGCCCAGGACCAGAUGCUGCUCUGAGCACCACCACCCAGAGCAGCACCAGGGAGGGAUGCCCAGCCCAGAAUAGCUGGAGCAGCCCCCCUGCCCCCACCCCCUGCCGACCAGGGAAGCUGACUGAGCUCACCCUGAGUGUGCUGGGGGGCAGAGGAGACCAUGCAGAUGUGCUGAGAGCUCCCUGGAAAGCAAGGCUCAGCUUCUUCUGCUACUGUCACCAGCAGAUGGAGAGAGGGGUCAGUAUUUAUCCUCUUGUAACACCUGAGGGGACAGAGUUGCUGACAUGUCUCAUAGAGUCCUUGUCCCCCACCUCCCUCACCCAUUGCCCACACUCCCUCAUCCUCUCACUUCAAGAGGCCUUGUUACCCCCCUAAAGGCCUGGAUUAGGCUCCACUGGUUAAAAAUCUUGUUCUAACUCCAAGUCCCCUAGAAUGUCCAUACCUUUAAGGGCUGGCACUGGUGCAGCAGGACUGAGGUAGAGACCCCAGAGAUUCACUUACAUAGCUGUUUCCAGUAGCCAAAUGACCAGGGACCACUAUUUAUGAGACAAUAGGAUAUCCCUUUCCUGAGAACAUGUUGGCCAAGCAGCAGAAGUGGGUGUGUUGUCCCUGAGGCUGAAUUUGGUGGUCUUGAGACCUAGCAUAGUGAGGCCAAACACUGACUUGGAUGGGUGCUGAGCCUGUGAAGGAAAAAACUCUACCAGAGAAACCUGACUGGGUUCGCUUUGUUUGUACAGAUCUAGUGGAGUUCCCCUUAAGCCUGAGAGGCCACUGGAGCCUGAGAGGCCACUGGAGACCAAGUCUGGUUAUACGCUGUAGAAGCUGGGUAAAUACCAUUUGGAGCACAGGUCUGCAGCAGAUCCAGAGUAAAUAAAACCUGAUACCUGCAUUGGACAUCUAAAAAAUGUUGAAUCUGGCAAGCUAUAAAUGAUAACAUGAAACAGUUAUUGAGUGUGUGCGAUGUCUGGAUACUAUUCUAACCAAUGUGAAUGCAUCAUCGCAUUUAAACCUCGCAGCAAAUUUAAGAAGAAAAAAAUCUUCCAUGUCCUUGAGCCAGUUACCAGAGAAGAGCAGAAAUCCAGGGAGGACAAGGGAUUGACCUGGGUAGUAUUGAGCUGGAAGGUAAAAGCAAUGAACAAAAAGAGGUUCAGAUUCCUUAUUUUGGAGCGACAGUGUCAACAAGAAACAUCUGCCAAACCACAAGGACCAUGUAGAAGCUGGUGUCCCAGGAGAUUAUUGCAGAAACCCUCAUGCUCCUAAACGACCAUAAGAAACUGAGCUCAAAUUUGAAGGCAUCACUUGUAUCCUGUGAAAGAGAAACCAAAGAAUGACCAAACCCCUCAGAAAUUAUGUAGCUCCUGGCUGAUCGUCACCUGCUGAUUCCUCUAACCAUGCUUGGGGCAAAGGUAAUGCAGCUGUAAAACUGACUGUGAAUUCUACAAGGACUUAUUGAGCAGACAUGUCUGAGCAAAGGACCAGAUUGCACAAUGGUUGGCAUCAGGUGCCACUGGGGCUAAGUGCAUGGUCACUGUUCCUCUCUUCUAUAGUGAUAGAUUAUCUCUGAUGCUGGCUUGCUGCCUCGAACAAAUGCCCUGAGUGAAGUGCCAGAUAAGAGAAGGGAUGAGUCCACCUCCAUUUAUAAAAUCUAAACUAACUCCGAGCCCCUAUGGCUCACUGGACAGCCAUCGGUAAGUGGUGUCUAGAAGGGAUUGCUGUAUUUGGCUAUAGGUAGACGAGGGGACAUUUGAGUCUCUGACCAUUGGUUAAAAGGGCAAUCUUGGAAACAACAGACACUGGGGACUCCAAAUGUGGAAAGGAAAGGAUUGGAGCAAAGGUUGAAAAACUACCUAUUGCAUACGAGGUUCACUAACUACAUGAUGGAUUCAACUGAAGCCCAAACCUCAGUGUUACGCAAUAUACCCAUAUAACAAAUCUGCAUAUGUACCCCCAAAUCUAAAAUAAUAAAAAAAGAAAAGAAAGCCAUUGCUGUUUCCAUUCACCAUAAGACACAGGUUCUUUACUUGGCAGUAAAAUAACCAAUUCUGGAGCUAUAAGAAUCUCUUUGAAUCCUGGAUCGGGAGAUCACUGGCUCUGUAACCUAGGACUUAACCUAUCUAAACUUGAAUUUACAAAUCUGUAAGGGAGGGGCACUAGUAGAACGUAUGUCACUGGACAAUUGUGAAGAUUGAAUAAAGUAUUGUAAGUAAAGCACUUGGCACAUGUUAGAUGCUCACUGAUUCCUACUUUCUCCAUUCCUUCAUGACCACUCCCAUUUACUACUUUUUUUCUCCCUAUUUUACCAAAUGGAAGCAGAGGUAUUAUGUGUCCACAUUAUUAUUAUUUUAGAUGGACAGAAGUGAACCUUUGACAGACUAGCUGAAGUAUACUGAAGUAUAAUUUCCAUACUCCACUCCCUAUUACACACACGCGCGCGCGCGCACACACACACACACACACACACACACACAGAGAGAGAGAGAGAGAGAGACUUUGCUCAGAAUGGAUGAAAGAAGGGUCUUUCACUUGUGAUGGUAAUUCACUCAUUUUUGCUCUACCCAAACUGUGAGUGUUAACUUCCGCUGCCGCUGCAGCUGCUCCUGCUGCUACUCAACACAGCACCCCACCCAGGGGAACAUUCAGCAACUUACACGAUUAAAUGGAAAGACUCAGGGAGAAAAUUUGGGGCUGAAUGAAGGUUAUGGAAAGAGAACUGUUUUCAGAGACAAAGACAUGAGUUCUAGUCCUGGCACUAAUUAAUUUGUAUUGUCAUUCAGCUAUAGAAAAGCCACUUAACCUCUU